GGGGUAAUCAUGUUUUUGACAGCAAGAUCAGAGGCUUCUGCAACUGGUACAGUUAGAACUGCACAUAACCCCCCUUGAGCCUCUUCUCAUACCGCUAAUUUUAGGUGUUGUUGAUUGAGGCUUUAUGAGGGUGAAUUAGUGAAAUAGCUACACCUGGUGUUGAUCUAUGUAUUAUGUUGAUGUUGAUUUAGCUAUUAGUGGCCUACAAUCGAAUGGACAAGAGGCGAAGAGGCGUCGAUUUUCUCAUAAUGGAGAGAAGGAUGAAGGGCAGCGAUGAACUGGGUUCUGAUAGGAGUUUCAAGGGUAAGUUUUUGAUUUUUCUUUUGCUUAUCAUUCGAACAAAGCCCUAAUUCGCGACUGGUGUCAGCAUUGGUACCCUAAUUCUCUUCUUUGAUUUGUACAUAAAUGGACUGACUCUAAAAGUUUCUUUUCAUUUGGAUUGAAAAUGUUGUUACUAAUUCUUUACGUUUGGUUAGUGUACAAGUUGGUGGAAGUAAUUCAACAGGUCAGAGUGGUGGUCUUUGCGUGGGUGGGGGCUGAAUCUUGGGUUUUGGACUGGUUGUGUCUUGGUGUGGGUGUGAUUUGGUGUCUAGCUGGUUCACCACUUGGGGAGUGGCUUCUGUGUAGUGUGUGUUUGGGUGCAACCUUCUGGGUGGGUGCUGUUUUGUGGUUUGUCUGGUAUUGUGGUAGUGUGCUUAUUGGUUCUCUAUUGGCAAAUGUAUGUCUAACUACCCAUUUUGUUAGCUAAAUCUGGUGAUUAGAAGUUAUUUAUUGAACUUUUUGAUGUAGUAUUGCACUAAGUUUUAUUCUAGAUCUAUCAUUUAUGAGGUAUUUCCUGUAACCAGACAGUUGAUAUUCUUGCAAGUGAAUUUUACGAAGACAAAGCAACCAUAGAUGCGAUGGCUUACAGGGUAUUGGGAAGCAGGUAAGACCUAAAGUCCUGAACUGAAACCACAAGAUUUAACAUUUUUUUGCAGCACCAAUGACUAAUGACUAAAUCCAUUUGUUGGUCUUGGUUUAACUUUUUUCCCAAUGAGGCUGGAAUAUCUUAUGCUGACCCAUUUGUUUAUCGGAGUGAAAAGUUUGACAAGAAAGACUCUGAAAGAGAAACGAAACCAAUUUUACUAAUUGGAUGUAUGCAUUAUGAUGCACAACUGUGAGCUUUCGUUUCUUUUUCCGACUUUACAAGACCUAAUCUUUUUUGCCGGUUAUUUGUUUCAGGCUGUCCCACCAAGAAUUAACAUAUUCCAGGUUCUGAGUCAUUCAGGUUGUUUGUGGUGGGAUAACAACGCCAUCAGGACAACCAGUGAUGGCAACCGAUUACACUAUGAUCAAGAGAUUAAAACCGGCCAAUAUGAAUAGAGUAACGAUAAAGUGGAUGUUAAAAGGAAUAGGUAAGAUUUUUGUUAAGAGUUUCUUGAAUUAAAUGGAAGGUUAGUUUGGGGUAUAUGCUAAGA